UACGGGGGGGGUAAGCGUUGUUCGGAAUUACUGGGCGUAAAGGGCUCGUAGGCGGCCAACUAAGUCAUACGUGAAAUCCCUCAGCUUAACUGGGGAACUGCGUGUGAUACUGGAUGGCUUGGAUUUGGGAGAGGGAUGCGGAAUUCCAGGUGUAGCGGUGAAAUGCGUAGAUAUCUGGAGGAACACCGAUGGCGAAGGCAGCCCCCUGGGCUAACACUGACGCUCAUGCACGAAAGCGUGGGGAGCAAACAGG
rnacentral:rRNA from 1 species